GCCUGGGUGGCUCGGUUGGUUAGAGUGUCGUCCUAUGCACCAAAAGGUCACAGGUUCAAUUCCUGGUCAGAACA